rnacentral:rRNA from 1 species
UACGUAGGUGGCGAGCGUUGUCCGGAAUUACUGGGUGUAAAGCGCGUGUAGGCGGGAGGCCAAGUCUGCGGUGAAAUCGCUCGGCUCAACUGGGCGGGGUCCGUGGAAACUGGUCACCUGGAGGACGGUAGAGGCGAGUGGAAUUCCCGGUGUAGUGGUGAAAUGCGUAGAGAUCAUGAGGAAGACCAGUGGCGAAGGCGGGUCUCUGGACAGUUCCUGACACUGAGGCACGAAGGCCAGGGGAGCAAACGGG